rnacentral:rRNA from 1 species
CACAUGCAGUCGAGGGAGAAGCCUUUCGGGGCAGAAACCGGCGCACGGGUGCGUAACGCGUAUGCAACCUACCUUUCACAGGGGGAUAGCCCGAAGAAAUUUGGAUUAAUACCCCAUAACAUUGUGAGAUGGCAUCAUUUAGCAAUUAAAACUAUGGUGGUGAGAGAUGGGCAUGCGUCCUAUUAGCUAGUUGGAGUGGUAACGGCACCCCAAGGCUACCAUAGGUAGGGGUCCUGAGAGGGAGAUCCCCCGCGCUGGUACUGAGCCAGGAUCAACAUCUAUACGGGNUGCAGCUGUGAUGUUUAUUGGUCAAUGGUAGGAAGACUGAACCAGCCAUGCCGCGUGAAGAAAGAAUGCAUGAUGGGUCGUAAACUGCUUUUAUAUGGGAAGAAUAAGGUGUACUAGUACCUUGAUGACGGUACCAUAUGAAUAAGCAUCGUCUAUCUCCGUGCCAGCGGCCGCGGUAAUACGGAGGAUGCGAGCGUUAUUCAGAAUCAUUGGGUUUAAAGGGUCUGUAGGCGGGCUAUUAAGUCAGGGGGGAAAGGUUUCAGCUUAACUGAGAAAUUGCCUUUGAUACUGGUAGUCUUGAAUAUCUGUGAAGUUCU